CCCUUAGAUGUUCUGGGCCGCACGCGUGCUACACUGAGUGGAUCAGCGGGUCAGGUUGCGCGAAAGUGUUUCCUAAUCUUUAAAUCCGCUCGUGAUGGGGAUUGACGGUUGCAAUUUUCCGUCAUGAACGAGGAAUACCUUGUAAGCGCGGGUCAUCAUCCCGCGCUGAAUACGUCCCUGCCCUUUGUACACACCGCCCGUCGCUCCUACCGAUUGGGUGUGCUGGUGAAAUGUUCGGAUCGGCCGUUUGUCGCGGUUUCCGCGUCAUGUGGCUGAGAAGUUCAUUAAACCCUCCCACCUAGAGGAAGGAGAAGUCGUAACA
rnacentral:rRNA from 1 species